rnacentral:tRNA from 1 species
AUUAACAAACUAAUGUUUUAAAGAAGUUAGAAAUUUCUUUUGAUUUAUUUCAAU